UAACAACCGGCUCUCUAGAUCACUUUAAAAAUUCAACUCAGGACUUGUGUGCUCUAGCGAAAACUCAUCUGGAUAAAUCCUGCAACUCUGUUUGGAAAGUUUCAUUAAAAUCUAAACGUAGAUUCUACGCAUCUCUACAACCAGAUAUUCCAAGGCGACCUUGGUUUUCUCUUCACAGGCAAGCUAAACAUUGGAUCACCACAACUAUCUGCCGACUACGCCUUGGACAUGCAUGUUAUGGGUUAACAGAGAGUCUACUACUAUUAUGCCUUCAAAAUUGAAUUAAGCCUGUAAUCUCGACGGCACCGUUCAAUCUCCAUCGUGUCUUCUCCAUCGCACGUGACAUUGGCGAAAUAAUCUGUGCCCCCUUGGCACAAAUAAAAGCCAAAAUAAAUAAAA